UUCCGGUUGAUCCUGCCGGAGGCCACUGCUAUUGGGAUCCGACUAAGCCAUGCGAGUCGAGAGGGUUCGGCCCUCGGCAGACUGCUCAGUAACACGUGGAUAACCUACCCUCAGGCGGAGAAUAACCACGGGAAACUGAGAAUAAUACUCCAUAGAUCUAGGAUGCUGGAAUGCACCUAGAUUGAAAGCUCUGGCGCCUAAGGAUGGGUCUGCGGACUAUCAGGUUGUAGUCAGGGUAAAGACCUGACUAGCCUACGACGGAUAUGGGUUGUGAGAGCAAUAGCCCAGAGACGAUAUCUGAGACACGAUAUCGGGCCCUACGGGGCGCAGCAGGCGCGAAAUCUUCACAAUGUGCGAAAGCACGAUGAGGGGAUCCCAAGUGCUGGCACGUAAGUGUCAGCUGUUUCUUUGUCUAAAAAACAAAGAGAGUAAGAGCUGGGUAAGACGGGUGCCAGCCGCCGCGGUAAUACCUGCAGCUCAAGUGGUGGCCGCUAUUAUUGGGCCUAAAACGUCCGUAGCCGGUUUAGUAAAUGCUUGGGUAAAUUGUGUAGCUUAACUAUACGAAUACCGGGUAGACUGCUAAACUUGGGACCGGGAGAGGCUAGAGGUACUCCUAGGGUAGAGGUGAAAUUCUGUAAUCCUAGGGGGACCACCAGUGGCGAAGGCGUCUAGCUAGAACGGGUCUGACGGUGAGGGACGAAGCCCUGGGGCGCAAACCGGAUUAGAUACCCGGGUAGUCCAGGGUGUAAACGCUGCUUGCUUGAUGUUAGUUGGGCUCCGAGCCCAACUAGUGUCGGAGAGAAGUUGUUAAGCAAGCUGCCUGGGAAGUACGGUCGCAAGACUGAAACUUAAAGGAAUUGGCGGGGGAGCACAGCAACGGGUGGAGCGUGCGGUUUAAUUGGAUUCAACGCCGGAAAUCUCACCGGAGGCGACGGUUAUAUGAAGGCCAGGCUGAUGACCUUGCCUGAUUUUCCGAGAAGUGGUGCAUGGCCGUCGUCAGUUCGUACCGUGAGGCGUUCUGUUAAGUCAGACAACGAACGAGACCCUCAUCUUUAGUUAAUC
rnacentral:rRNA from 1 species